GUUUAGGGGUAAACCUGAGAAACCCGAAAGGUCGAAGGUAGAAAUUCAUUCGCGUUUCAUUGCAAUCGUUGGCGGUUGUGUGACGGAAUUUUUCGCACACUCCGUUUUACGAUCCGCGAUGAACGCGUGCACUUUUCUACCGGUAGGACGUCGCAAUCCGUUGGGUGUCGGUCUACGGCGAAAGGUGGAGCCCGUUUGUGUUUUUUGACACGAGCGGACCCUUUCGUUUUUCCGACCGACUCGCUCGACGGUAUACGAAAGGUUUAAGGCCGCUCUCUUUUGAGCGUUCGACUCGCGGCAAGCGCGUCAGACGUGUCGGAAAUCGGACCUCGUGCCGGUUCUGACCUCUGAUGACUGUUGGCCGUGAAGUUCUUGAACAGACCUUAGGACCGAUUCGCGACGCUAUAGCUUUGGGUACUUUCAGGACCCGUCUUGAAACACGGACCAAGGAGUCUAGCAUGUACGCGAGUCAUUGGGAAUAACUAAACCUAAAGGCGUAAUGAAAGUGAAGGUUUUCCUCGCGAAGACCGAGGGAGGACGGGUGGAUUUCACCGUUAAAAGUGGCCAUCCUGCACUCCCGGGGCGUCUCGUUCUCAUUGCGAGAAGAGGCGCACCAAGAGCGUACACGCUGGGACCCGAAAGAUGGUGAACUAUGCCUGGUCAGGACGAAGUCAGGGGAAACCCUGAUGGAGGUCCGUAGCGAUUCUGACGUGCAAAUCGAUCGUCGGAACUGGGUAUAGGGGCGAAAGACUAAUCGAACCAUC
rnacentral:rRNA from 1 species